UACAGAGGGUGCGAGCGUUAAUCGGAGUCACUGGGCGUAAAGGGCGCGUAGGCGGCGAUGCAAGUGUGGCGUGAAAUCCCCGGGCUCAACCUGGGAACUGCGCCGCGGACUGUGUUGCUGGAGUACUGUAGAGGGCAGUGGAAUUUCCGGUGUAGCGGUGAAAUGCGUAGAGAUCGGAAGGAACACCGGUGGCGAAGGCGGCUGCCUGGACAGAUACUGACGCUGAGGCGCGAGAGCGUGGGGAGCAAACAGG
rnacentral:rRNA from 1 species